GUGUGGGUGGGUAGGGGAGCGUCGUGCAGCCGUGGAAGCGCCGGAGUGAUCCAGGUGUGGAGGCUGCGCGAGUGAGAAUGCAGGCAUGAGUAGCGAAAGACGAGUGAGAAACUCGUCCGCCGGAUGACCAAGGGUUCCUGGGCCAGGUUAAUCCGCCCAGGGUGAGUCGGGACCUAAGGCGAGGCCGACAGGCGUAGUCGAUGGACAACGGGUUGAUAUUCCCGUACCCGUGUAUCCGCGCCCAAUGGCGAAUCAGUUGUGCUAACCGUCCAAAAGUCUCCUUUGUUCCUUCGGGAACCCUGGGGAUGGCUGCACGGGACCCCGAUUGUAGUAGUCAAGCGAUGGGGUGACGCAGGAAGGUAGCUGGGCCAGGUGAUGGAAUACCUGGUGUAAGCCGGUAGGGCGUGACAUAGGCAAAUCCGUGUCACAUACAGCCUGAGAGGUGAUGCGUACCCGUUGAGGGGAAUUCAGUGAUCCUAUGCUGCCGAGAAAAGCCUCUAGUGAGUUGGUACACGGCCCGUACCCCAAACCGACACAGGUGGUCAGGUAGAGAAUACCGAGGCGAUCGAGAGAACUGUGGUUAAGGAACUCGGCAAAAUGCCCCCGUAACUUCGGGAGAAGGGGGACCACGCCCGGUGACGGCCCUUGCGGUCCGAGCUGGGGGUGGUCGCAGAGACCAGAGAGAAGCGACUGUUUACUAAAAACACAGGUCCGUGCGAAGUCGUAAGACGAUGUAUACGGACUGACGCCUGCCCGGUGCUGGAAGGUUAAGAGGACCGGUCAGCCAUUUCGGUGGCGAAGCUGAGAAUUUAAGCCCCAGUAAACGGCGGUGGUAACUAUAACCAUCCUAAGGUAGCGAAAUUCCUUGUCGGGUAAGUUCCGACCUGCACGAAUGGCGUAACGACUUCUCUGCUGUCUCGACCACAGACUCGGCGAAAUUGCAUUACGAGUAAAGAUGCUCGUUACGCGCGGCAGGACGAAAAGACCCCGGGACCUUCACUAUAGCUUGGUAUUGGUGUUCGGUUCGGUUUGUGUAGGAUAGGUGGGAGACUGUGAAGCGGCCACGCCAGUGGUUGUGGAGUCGUUGUUGAAAUACCACUCUGAUCGUAUUGGACCUCUAACCUCGGACCAUGAUCUGGUUCAGGGACAGUGCCUGGUGGGUAGUUUAACUGGGGCGGUUGCCUCCCAAAAUGUAACGGAGGCGCCCAAAGGUUCCCUCAGCCUGGUUGGCAAUCAGGUGUCGAGUGCAAGUGCACAAGGGAGCUUGACUGUGAGACUGACAGGUCGAGCAGGGACGAAAGUCGGGACUAGUGAUCCGGCACCGGCAUGUGGAAGCGGUGUCGCUCAACGGAUAAAAGGUACCCCGGGGAUAACAGGCUGAUCUUCCCCAAGAGUCCAUAUCGACGGGAUGGUUUGGCACCUCGAUGUCGGCUCGUCGCAUCCUGGGGCUGGAGUAGGUCCCAAGGGUUGGGCUGUUCGCCCAUUAAAGCGGCACGCGAGCUGGGUUUAGAACGUCGUGAGACAGUUCGGUCUCUAUCCGCCGCGCGCGUUAGAAACUUGAGGAAGGCUGUCCCUAGUACGAGAGGACCGGGACGGACGAACCUCUGGUGUGCCAGUUGUCCCGCCAGGGGCAUGGCUGGUUGGCUACGUUCGGAAGGGAUAACCGCUGAAAGCAUCUAAGCGGGAAGCCUGUUCCAAGAUGAGGUUUCUCACCCCCUCGAGGGGGUAAGGCCCCCGGCAGACCACCGGGUUGAUAGGCCGGAACUGGAAGCCCAGCAAUGGGUGGAGGUGACCGGUACUAAUAGGCCGAGGACUUACCAC
rnacentral:rRNA from 1 species